rnacentral:rRNA from 1 species
GACGAACGCUGGCGGCGUGCUUAACACAUGCAAGUCGAACGGUGAAGGUGGAGCUUGCUCCGCCGGAUCAGUGGCGAACGGGUGAGUAACACGUGGGCAACCUGCCCCUGACUUCGGGCUAACUCCUCGAAAGAGGUGCUAAUACCGGAUACGAAUCCUGCAGGCAUCUGCGGGAUUGGAAAGUUGUUCGGUCAGGGAUGGGCCCGCGGCCUAUCAGCUUGUUGGUGAGGUAGUGGCUCACCAAGGCGACGACGGGUAGCCGGCCUGAGAGGGGGAGCGGCCACGCUGGGACGGAGACACGGCCCAGACUCCUACGGGAGGCAGGAGUGGGGAAUAUUGCGCAAUGGGCGAAAGCCAGACGCAACAAAGCCGCGUGAGGGAUGACGGCCUUCGGGUUGUAAACCUCUUUCAGCAGGGAAGAAGCGAAAGUGACGGUACCUGCAGAAGAAGCACCGGCUAACUACGUGCCAGCCGCCGCCGUAA